UACGGGGGGGAGCAAGCGUUUGUUCGGAUUUACUGGGCGUAAAGGGCGCGUAGGCGGCCACCGCAAGUCGACUGUGAAAUCUCCGGGCUUAACCCGGAAAGGUCAGCCGAUACUGCGGGGCUAGAGUGCAGAAGGGGCAACUGGAAUUCUCGGUGUAGCGGUGAAAUGCGUAGAUAUCGAGAGGAACACCGGUGGCGAAGGCGGUUCUCUGGGCAUGUCCUGACGCUGAGGAGCGAAAGUGUGGGGAGCGAACAGG
rnacentral:rRNA from 1 species